rnacentral:rRNA from 1 species
AUUGAACGCUGGCGUCAGGCCUAACACAUGCAAGUCGAGCGAGCGGCGGACGGGUGAGUAAUGUGUGGGAAACUGCCUGAUGGAGGGGGAUAACUACUGGAAACGGUAGCUAAUACCGCAUCCCAUCAGAUGUGCCCCGAUGGGAUUGGCUAGUAGGUGGGGUAACGGCUCACCUAGGCGACGAUCCCUAGCUGGUCUGAGAGGAUGACCAGCGCCACGGGAGAUGUGACACGGAGCAGGCUCCUAUGGGAGGGAGCAGGGGGGAAGAAGGCACAAUGGGCGCAAGCCUGCAGCAGGCAUGCCGCGUGUAGGAAGCAGGAAGUCGGGUUGCAAAGUACUUUUAGCGGGGAGGCGUUACCCUCAUAAGAAGAACCGGCUAACUCCGUGCCAGCAGCCGCGGUAAUUC